rnacentral:rRNA from 1 species
UACGUAGGCAGCAAGCGUUGUUCGGAUUCAUUGGGCGUAAAGGGUGCGUAGGCGGCGCGGUAAGUCGGGUGUGAAAUCUCGGAGCUUAACUCCAAAACUGCAUUCGAUACUGCCGUGCUUGAGGACUGGAGAGGAGACUGGAAUUUACGGUGUAGCGGUGAAAUGCGUAGAUAUCGUAAGGAAGACCAGUGGCGAAGGCGGGUCUCUGGACAGUUCCUGACGCUGAGGCACGAAGGCCAGGGGAGCAAACGGG